GGGCCUCUAGCUCAACUGGCAGAGCAGCGGACUUUUAAUCCGCGGGUUGUGGGUUCGAGACCCACGGGGCCCA
rnacentral:tRNA from 1 species